GGUGCUGGAAGGUUAAGGGGAUCUGUUAGAGCAAUCGAAGCAGUGAACUUAAGCCCCAGUAAACGGCGGCCGUAACUAUAACGGUCCUAAGGUAGCGAAAUUCCUUGUCGGGUAAGUUCCGACCCGCACGAAAGGCGUAACGAUUUGGGCACUGUCUCAACAACAGACUCGGUGAAAUUGUAAUUCCGGUGAAGAUGCCGGAUACCUGCGACAGGACGGAAAGACCCCAUGGAGCUUUACUGUAGCUUGACAUUGGGUCUUGGUACUACAUGUACAGGAUAGGUGGGAGGCUUUGAAACCAGGACGCCAGUUUUGGCGGAGCCAUCCUUGGGAUACCACCCUUGUAGUACUGGGACUCUAACCAUAGGCCAUGAAUCUGGUCUUGGGACACUGUCAGGUGGGCAGUUUGACUGGGGCGGUCGCCUCCCAAAAGGUAACGGAGGCGCUCAAAGGUUCUCUCAGUACGGUCGGAAAUCGUACGUAGAGUGUAAAGGCAAAAGAGAGCUUGAUUGCAAGACAUACAGGUCGAGCAAGGAUGAAAAUCGGACUUAGUGAUCCGGUGGUUCUGCGUGGAAGGGCCAUCGCUCAACGGAUAAAAGCUACCCUGGGGAUAACAGGCUUAUCUCCCCCAAGAGUCCACAUCGACGGGGAGGUUUGGCACCUCGAUGUCGGCUCAUCACAUCCUGGGGCUGUAGUAGGUCCCAAGGGUUGGGCUGUUCGCCCAUUAAAGUGGUACGCGAGCUGGGUUCAGAACGUCGUGAGACAGUUCGGUCCCUAUCCGUCGCAGGCGUAGGAAAUUUGAGAAGACCUGUCCUUAGUACGAGAGGACCGGGAUGGACGUACCUCUGGUGUACCAGUUGUCCUGCCAAGGGCAUGGCUGGGUAGCUAUGUACGGAAUGGAUAAGCGCUGAAAGCAUCUAAGCGCGAAGCCAACUUCAAGAUAAGAUUUCCCACCGCAAGGGUAAGACCCCAGAAAGACUAUCUGGUUGAUAGGUCGAAGGUGUAAGUGCAGCAAUGUAUUUAGCUUAUCGAUACUAAUAGGUCGAGGACUUGACCAA
rnacentral:rRNA from 1 species